rnacentral:snoRNA from 1 species
CUGCAGCCAGUUCACCAACCAGGCUCCUUUACUCUGGGGGCCUGGUGCACAACAGCUUCAAACAGUAGCCUCCUUGGCAGCCUGUACAGCUGUGGCUUGAAUGGGCUGACCUAUGGGACCUUGGGGACAGAU